rnacentral:rRNA from 1 species
GCUUACGGCCCUAUCACGUUGAGACCACCGGUUAAGCAACGUCGAGCCUAGUGAGUACUUAGAUGGGUGACCGCUUGGGAAACCUAGGUGUUGUAUGCG